rnacentral:rRNA from 1 species
GACGAACGCUGGCGGCGUGCUUAACACAUGCAAGUCGAACGGAAAGGCCCUGCUUUUGUGGGGUGCUCGAGUGGCGAACGGGUGAGUAACACGUGAGUAACCUGCCCUUGACUUUGGGAUAACUUCAGGAAACUGGGGCUAAUACCGGAUAGGAGCUCCUGCUGCAUGGUGGGGGUUGGAAAGUUUCGGCGGUUGGGGAUGGACUCGCGGCUUAUCAGCUUGUUGGUGGGGUAGUGGCUUACCAAGGCUGUGACGGGUAGCCGGCCUGAGAGGGUGACCGGCCACAUUGGGACUGAGAUACGGCCCAGACUCCUACGGGAGGCAGUAGUGGGGAAUAUUGCACAAUGGGCGCAAGCCUGAUGCAGCAACGCCGCGUGCGGGAUGACGGCCUUCGGGUUGUAAACCGCUUUCGCCUGUGACGAAGCGUUAGUGACGGUAAUGGGUAAAGAAGCACCGGCUAACUACGUG